UUACUGGGUCCAGUGAAUGCGCCCAAGUGACGUUGGCGUUAGAACAGCUCGCUGCUGUUAUGGGAUGCGACGUCAGGUUGUUUCAGACACCUGAGGUCGAUCUCAUAUUGAUAGCGGCUGAUGUCAUCCGAAACACACGCGCAGCUCAAUCUAAUGAGCAGAUUGUAGCGUUGCGUUUCCGUCAUGAGAUGCUACAGAUGGAAAUCCAAGCCUUAAGGAAUUGCAUCGCUGAGUACCACGUC